GACGAACGCUGGCGGCGUGCUUAACACAUGCAAGUCGAACGGAAAGGCCCCUUUGGGGGUACUCGAGUGGCGAACGGGUGCGUAACACGUGAGUAACCUUCCCUUGACUUCGGGAUAACUUCAGGAAACUGGGGCUAAUACCGGAUAGGAAUCCUUGCUGCAUGGUGGGGGUUGGAAAGCUUCGGCGGUUUUGGAUGGACUCGCGGCUUAUCAGCUUGUUGGUGGGGUAGUGGCUUACCAAGGCUUUGACGGGUAGCCGGCCUGAGAGGGCGACCGGCCACAUUGGGACUGAGAUACGGCACAGACUCCUACGGGAGGCAGCAGUGGGGAAUAUUGCACAAUGGGCGGAAGCCUGAUGCAGCAACGCCGCGGGCGGGAUGACGGCCUUCGGGUUGUAAACCGCUUUCAGCAGGGGCGAAGCUUGUGGUGACGGUACCUGCAGAAGAAGCACCGGCUAACUACGUG
rnacentral:rRNA from 1 species